AAAACACAUAGCUAACAGGCCAACGGACUCCGACGCAACCCCCGGGAACCUGGGAAUAAUCCGUGAUGAGUGAGAACUCCUGGAAUCCAUUCUCCCCGAAAGGGCCUAUACACCACGCUUAUAGGCGUCGCCCAAGGAAGGGGCCGCGGCCGAUCAGGCUGUUGGUGAGGUAACGGCUCACCAAACAAUCAACCGGUACGGGCCGUAAGAGCGGGAGCCCGGAGAUGGGCACUGAGAUAAGGGCCCAGGCCCUACGGGGCGCAGCAGUCGCGAAAACUCCGCAAUACACGAAAGUGUGACGGGGCUAUCCCGAGUGCCGUCCGCUGAGGAUGGCUUUUCCCUAGUGUAUAAAGCUGGGGGAAUAAGGAGAGGGCAAGACUGGUGUCAGCCACCGCGGUAA
rnacentral:rRNA from 1 species